CUUAGGCUUACCUAUUGUUGCUGUUGCCUUUUGGAAGCUGAUCUGAUCGUUUGCGUUGCUGAUUUGGAAGCCUCCCAAGCAUCCGAUCAAUGCAGCCUGAAGUCAGUGGAACUUCAUAUCUGACCUGCAAGCUCUACAAACUGUCUCAAAACACAGCCUUUGCCCUAAAACUCCUUGAUGCAGAAGAUGCAGCACAUGUACACAUAAACGCAAACAACGCAAACAGACGACCUUCCUUUCAGUCAGACUUAUUCGAGGCGGGUCAUACAGUGAGCGAAAUUCCGCAGCAGUAUUCAUAACACGGAUGAGAACAAGAGGUAGAGGAGGAGGUGGAGAGGUGUACGGAUGGAUUAGGCGGCGUAAGCACCAGCAAACCAUGACAAAUUCCCUGUACUUGCAACCCAUGAUACUUAGCAAUAAAGGUGAUUCAGAUUUUGAGAAUUGUAUCACCAUAUGCAGUUUGGAGGAUCUUUUGUCUCAUAACUUAACAAAGAAUGUACUACAAGAACAAUUUCAAGUCAUUAUUCAAGUCAUGACUCACGUAUUACCCCAAUCUAUUUUGAUCACAUCUGAACCGGACACUUUCUAGAUCCUUGAGUACGAAAGGAGAGAAAUGUGGA